rnacentral:rRNA from 1 species
UACGGAGGAUCCAAGCGUUAUCCGGAAUCAUUGGGUUUAAAGGGUCCGUAGGCGGUUUGGUAAGUCAGUGGUGAAAGCCCGGAGCUCAACUCCGGAACUGCCAUUGAAACUGUUUAGCUUGAGGACGAGAGAGGUGAGUGGAAUUCCCAGUGUAGAGGUGAAAUUCGUAGAUAUUGGGAAGAACACCGGUGGCGAAGGCGGCCAUCUGGACGGACACUGACGCUGAGGCGCGAAAGCGUGGGGAGCGAACAGG